rnacentral:rRNA from 1 species
UACGUAGGGUGCGAGCGUUAAUCGGAAUUACUGGGCGUAAAGCGUGCGCAGGCGGUUUUGUAAGCCAGAUGUGAAAGCCCCGGGCUUAACCUGGGAAUGGCAUUUGGGACUGCAAGGCUUGAGUGCGGCAGAGGAGACUGGAAUUCCUGGUGUAGCGGUGAAAUGCGCAGAUAUCAGGAGGAACACCAAUUGCGAAGGCAGCUCGCUGGAACGUAACUGACGCUGAGACGCGAAAGCGUGGGGAGCAAACAGG